UACAGAGGUGGCAAGCGUUGUUCGGAAUUACUGGGCGUAAAGGGCGCGUAGGCGGCCGCCUAAGUCAGACGUGAAAUCCCCAGGCUUAACUUGGGAACUGCGUCUGAUACUGGGGGGCUUGAGGACAGGAGAGGAACGCGGAAUUCCAGGUGUAGCGGUGAAAUGCGUAGAUAUCUGGAGGAACACCGGUGGCGAAGGCGGCGUUCUGGACUGUUUCUGACACUGAGGAACGAAAGCCAGGGGAGCAAACGGG
rnacentral:rRNA from 1 species